UGGGGAAUAUUGGACAAUGGGCGCAAGCCUGAUCCAGCCAUGCCGCGUGAGUGAUGAAGGCCCUAGGGUUGUAAAGCUCUUUCACCGGUGAAGAUAAUGACGGUAACCGGAGAAGAAGCCCCGUCUAACUUCGUGCCAGCAGCCGCGGUAAUACGAAGGGGGCUAGCGUUGUUCGGAUUUACUGGGCGUAAAGCGCACGUAGGCGGACUUUUAAGUCAGGGGUGAAAUCCCGGGGCUCAACCCCGGAACUGCCUUUGAUACUGGAAGUCUUGAGUAUGGUAGAGGUGAGUGGAAUUCCGAGUGUAGAGGUGAAAUUCGUAGAUAUUCGGAGGAACACCAGUGGCGAAGGCGGCUAACUGGACCAUUACUGACGCUGAGGUGCGAAAGCGUGGGGAGCAAACAGG
rnacentral:rRNA from 1 species